GACGAACGCUGGCGGCGUGCCUAAUACAUGCAAGUUGAGCGAUGAAGAUUGGUGCUUGCACCAAUUUGAAGAGCAGCGAACGGGUGAGUAACGCGUGGGGAAUCUGCCUUUGAGCGGGGGACAACAUUUGGAAACGAAUGCUAAUACCGCAUAACAACUUUAAACAUAAGUUUUAAGUUUGAAAGAUGCAAUUGCAUCACUCAAAGAUGAUCCCGCGUUGUAUUAGCUAGUUGGUGAGGUAAAGGCUCACCAAGGCGAUGAUACAUAGCCGACCUGAGAGGGUGAUCGGCCACAUUGGGACUGGGACACGGCCCAAACUCCUACGGGAGGCAGCAGUAGGGAAUCUUCGGCAAUGGACGAAAGUCUGACCGGGCAACGCCGCGGGGGUGAAGAAGGUUUUCGGAUCGUAAAACUCUGUUGGUAGGGAAGAACGUUGGUGAGAGUGGAAAGCUCAUCAAGUGACGGUAACUACCCAGAAAGGGACGGCUAACUACGUG
rnacentral:rRNA from 1 species